rnacentral:tRNA from 1 species
UUCCGCUAUGGUGUAACUCGGCAGCACACGGGGUUUUGGUCCCCUUGGUCCAGGUUCAAAUCCUGGUAGCGGAGCCC